UACGUAGGGUGCAAGCGUUGUCCGGAAUUAUUGGGCGUAAAGAGCUCGUAGGCGGUUUGUCGCGUCUGCCGUGAAAACUCAGGGCUUAACCCUGAGCCUGCAGUCGAUACGGGCAGACUAGAGUGCGGUAGGGGAGAUUGGAAUUCCUGGUGUAGCGGUGGAAUGCGCAGAUAUCAGGAGGAACACCGAUGGCGAAGGCAGAUCUCUGGGCCGUAACUGACGCUGAGGAGCGAAAGCUGGGGAGCGAACAGG
rnacentral:rRNA from 1 species